ACGGAAGGCAGCAGUGGGGAAUAUUGCACAAUGGGGGAAACCCUGAUGCAGCGACGCCGCGUGAGCGAAGAAGUAUUUCGGUAUGUAAAGCUCUAUCAGCAGGGAAGAAAAUGACGGUACCUGACUAAGAAGCUCCGGCUAAAUACGUGCCAGCAGCCGCGGUAAUACGUAUGGAGCAAGCGUUAUCCGGAUUUACUGGGUGUAAAGGGAGCGUAGACGGAACAGCAAGUCUGAUGUGAAAGGCAGGGGCUCAACUCCUGGACUGCAUUGGAAACUGUUGAUCUUGAGUGUCGGAGAGGUAAGCGGAAUUCCUAGUGUAGCGGUGAAAUGCGUAGAUAUUAGGAGGAACACCAGUGGCGAAGGCGGCUUACUGGACGAUAACUGACGUUGAGGCUCGAAAGCGUGGGGAGCAAACAGGAUUAGAUACCCUGGUA
rnacentral:rRNA from 2 species